rnacentral:rRNA from 1 species
UACGUAGGGUGCGAGCGUUUGUCCGGAAUUACUGGGUGUAAAGAGCUCGUAGGUGGUUUGUCGCGUUGUUCGUGAAAACUCACAGCUUAACUGUGGGCGUGCGGGCGAUACGGGCAGACUGGAGUACUGCAGGGGAGACUGGAAUUCCUGGUGUAGCGGUGGAAUGCGCAGAUAUCAGGAGGAACACCGGUGGCGAAGGCGGGUCUCUGGGCAGUAACUGACGCUGGGAGGAAGCGAA